CGGGGAAUAUUGCGCAAUGGGCGAAAGCCUGACGCAGCAACGCCGCGUGAGGGAUGAAGGCUCUCGGGUUGUAAACCUCUUUCAGCAGGGACGAAAUCAGACGGUACCUGCAGAAGAAGCCCCGGCCAACUACGUGCCAGCAGCCGCGGUAACACGUAGGGGGCGAGCGUUGUCCGGAUUUAUUGGGCGUAAAGAGCUCGUAGGCGGUUCGAUAAGUCGGGUGUGAAAACUCUGGGCUCAACCCAGAGACGCCACCCGAUACUGUCAUGACUUGAGUCCGGUAGGGGAGUAUGGAAUUCCCGGUGUAGCGGUGAAAUGCGCAGAUAUCGGGAGGAACACCAGUGGCGAAGGCGGUACUCUGGGCCGGAACUGACGCUGAGGAGCGAAAGCGUGGGUAGCGAACAGG
rnacentral:rRNA from 1 species